UACGUAGGGGGCAAGCGUUGUCCGGAAUCAUUGGGCGUAAAGAGCGUGUAGGCGGCCCGAUAAGUCCGCCGUGAAAGCCCAGGGCUCAACCCUGGGAUGCCGGUGGAUACUGUCGGGCUAGAGUUCGGAAGAGGCAAGUGGAAUUCCUGGUGUAGCGGUGGAAUGCGCAGAUAUCAGGAGGAACACCAGCGGCGAAGGCGGCGCUCUGGGCCGGAACUGACGCUGAGGAGCGAAAGCGUGGGGAGCGAACAGG
rnacentral:rRNA from 1 species